UACGGGGGGAGCAAGCGUUGUUCGGAUUUACUGGGCGUAAAGGGCGCGUAGGCGGCCAGCACAAGUCAGUUGUGAAAUCUCCGAGCUUAACUCGGAAAGGUCAACUGAUACUGUGCGGCUAGAGUGCAGAAGGGGCAACUGGAAUUCUCGGUGUAGCGGUGAAAUGCGUAGAUAUCGAGAGGAACACCUGCGGCGAAGGCGGGUUGCUGGGCUGACACUGACGCUGAGGCGCGAAAGCCAGGGGAGCGAACGGG
rnacentral:rRNA from 1 species